AGUCGAAACUAGGCGUGAUGCUCGCCUAGUCCACCGGAGAUAGCCUCCCGGUGCUGAUGAGACAGGCUUAA
rnacentral:hammerhead_ribozyme from 2 species